GAGGGUAUAGCUUUGUGGUAGAGUGAGUUCUUAGCAUGCACAAGGUCCUGGGUUCAAUCCCCACUACCUCCA
rnacentral:tRNA from 1 species